GGGUGGGAGCCGCGCUCUCCCGCCCGCUGCUCGACUCCGGAGGGCGUAAAAGUUUGUCUCAGCUCGAGCACUCCUAGCUCCAACAGGCCCUCAGGUAAAGGUGGAAGUAAAUGGCCACGCUGUAUUGACAGAGGUGGCCUGAUCAGAGGUUGUAGCGGAUGUUCUCAAUAUUUCCAUUGGAGUUUCCUUAUCUCUGCCUACAAGAGGAGUCCCAGAGCCUCAUCCCUGUGGUAGCUACUAUGCCUUGGGAGCUUUGCUAAGAGACUUGGUUAGAUCAGCAAGCCCAUCUACCCUAUGGAAAAACAACUUGAGGCUCAUCUCUAUUGAUGAGAUGGGGUCU